GGUUGGAUCAUUAUGAAUUGUAAGAUUUCCCCUGUGCAACCCCAUCAUCUUAGUAUUUUUUGAUGCUAACAUGACAUGUGUAACAAUAAUUUUAUUAUAUUCUUAACUUUACAAACAACUUUUGACAACGGAUCUCUUGAAUUUUGCUUUGAUGAAGAACAUAGUGAAAUGUGAUAACUAAUGUGAAAUGCAGAGUAUUGUGAAUCAUCAAGUCUUUGAAUUAUCUUUCAGUCUCUUAAGGAGAUAAUUAUAUGUCAAUAUCAAUGUUUGAUAUGUCAGUGGAUUCUGACAUUGUGACUAUCUUAAAACAAACAUAGUUGUAAACCAGUAUUAAAUGUGUUAUUGCGCCAAAUGUCUUUGGUUUCUAUAAUAUUUUUGACAUCUAAACGAAGCAAUUUCCGAUGAUGGGAUUGCCAAGAUUUAGAUUGUACAGUUCAAUCUGUUUAGAUUUGAUGUAUGAUGGACUACCCGCUGAACUUAAGCAUAUCAAUAAGCGGAGGAAAAGAAACUAACCAGGAUUCCUCUAGUAACGGCGAGUGAAAAGGGAAAAGCUCAAUUUUGAAAUCCCACUUAUUUGUGUGAAUUGUAGUUGAAGGAAAUAUGGUUGUUGUGAAAUGAAUUCAUAGUUUUCCUGGAAAGGAAAGUUUAGAUAGGUGAUAACCCUUUCUGUUGUUUUUGUUCAUAGCAUAUAUCCAUUUUUUCUGAGAGUCAGAUAGUUUGGGAUUGCUAUCUAAAAAUGGUGGUAAAUGUCAUCUAAAGCUAAAUACAAGUAAAAUAUCAAUAGCAUACAAGUACCAUGAGGGAAAGAUGAAAAGAACUUUGGAAAGAGAGUUAAAAAGUAUGUGAAAUUGUCAAAAGGGAAACAUUGGAAAUUACGUAUGUGAACAAAAUCACAAGAAAACUUGUUUUUUUGACUAUUUUGUUCUUUUAUCACCAUCAGUUAGUGAUUUAAUAUUGAAACUUUGAUGUGAGUUGGUGCAAAUCAACUGUUAACUGACAAUGUUUUUAUCCUUAUUUUGCUAACUGACCUAAUGUAUUCAUUCUCUGUAUUUAUGUGAGAUAUUUCUGAUUUUUGAAGUAUUUUAUUUUAAAAGUUGGUUGGUAUUUUAAUGUAAGUUUUUGGAAAGAAUAUCAUGAUGGUGCAAGUGAUUUUCAAUGACCCGUCUUGAAACAUGGACCAAGGAGUCUAACCUGUAUGCGAGUAUAUGGGUUUAAAAUCCAAAUGCGUAACUAAAGUAAUUGGUGGGAUUUUUGAUGCACCAUCAACCAGUCUGGAUUUCUUGAAAGACCUGAGUUUAGCAUACAUGUUAGGACCCGAAAGAUGGUGAACUAUGCCUGGGUAGAAUAAAGCCAGAGGAAACUCUGGUGGAAGUUUGUCACGAUUCUGACAUGCAAAUCGAUCGUUGAAUCUGGGUAUAGGGGCGAAAGACUAAUCGAACCAUCUAGUAGCUGGUUCCCUC
rnacentral:misc_RNA from 1 species